UACGUAGGGUGCGAGCGUUGUCCGGAAUUAUUGGGCGUAAAGGGCUCGUAGGCGGUUUGUCACGUCGGGAGUGAAAACUCGGGGCUUAACUCCGAGCCUGCUUCCGAUACGGGCUGACUAGAGGUAUGCAGGGGAGAACGGAGUUCCUGGUGUAGCGGUGAAAUGCGCAGAUAUCAGGAGGAACACCGGUGGCGAAGGCGGUUCUCUGGGCAUUACCUGACGCUGAGGAGCGAAAGUGUGGGGAGCGAACAGG
rnacentral:rRNA from 1 species